rnacentral:rRNA from 1 species
AGAGUUUGAUCCUGGCUCAGAAGGAACGCUGGCAGCGUGCAUAACACAUGCAAGUCGAACGAUGAAGGAGUCUUCGGACUGCGGAAGAGUGGCGAACGGGUGAGGAACACGUAAGAAUCUGCCCCUCGGUCGGGGACAACUCUUGGAAACGAGAGCUAAUACCCGAUACGCUGUGGAGUGAAAGAAUUUCGCCGAGGGAUGAUCUUGCGUCUGAUUAGCUAGUUGGUGUGGUAACUGCACACCAAGGCGACGAUCAGUAGCUGGUCUGAGAGGAUGGACAGCCACAUUGGAACUGAGACACGGUCCAGACUCCUACGGGAGGCAGCAGUGGGGAAUUUUCCGCAAUGGACGAAAGUCUGACGGAGCGACGCUGCGUGAAGGAUGAAGGCCCGUGGGUUGUAAACUUCUUUUCUCGAAGAAGAAAAAAAUGACGGUAUUCGAGGAAUAAGCAUCGGCUAACUCCGUGCCAGCAGCCGCGGUAAGACAGAGGAUGCAAGUGUUAUUCGGAAUGAUUGGGCGUAAAGAGUCUGUAGGCGGUUUAGAAAGUCUUUUGUGAAAUACUUCAGCUCAACUGGGGAUCCGCAAAAGAAACUUCUCGACUUGAGGAAAGUAGAGGUACAGGGAAUUUCCGGUGGAGCGGUGAAAUGCGUAGAUAUCGGAAGGAACACCAAUAUGGCGAAGGCACUGUACUGGGCUUUUCCUGACGCUCAGAGACGAAAGCUGAAGGAGUGAUUAGGAUUAGAUACCCUAGUAAUUUCAGCCGUAAACGAUGAAAACUCACUGUCGAGC